rnacentral:rRNA from 1 species
AUGGAUGAGUGCACUGAGGACAAUACGGGUUUCGCCAAAGCCCUGAAGUUCUGGCAAGUAAGCCAGCUGCCCAUCCUCGUCCUCGCGAGCCUCGCCAUCCAGUGGUUCCUCUUCGUCUUCGCGCCCUUUCGUCAGCAUCGAGUCCCAGGUUUGCUGAGGCUCUCCAUCUGGCUGGCCUACCUGGGCAGCGAUGCCGUGGCCAUCUACGCCCUUGCCACCCUCUUCAACUCCCGCAGGUGCUGCACCGAAGGCCUCCCCGGCGUGGAGCUGCUGUGGGCGCCAAUCCUGUUGGUGCACCUGGGCGGCCAGGACAGCAUAACUGCCUACAACAUCGAAGACAACGAGCUGUGGAAGCGGCAUGUCGUAACAGCGGUGUCUCAGGUGGCGGCCGCUAUUUUUGUGUUCGUCAAGUCGUGGCCAAAAUCCAAAGCAGAUGGCGAAGAUUUCCAGAGAAUCUUCACGCCAGCGCUUCUCCUGUUCUUCUGUGGGAUUAGCAAGUGCGUAUGCAAGCCCUGGGACCUGAAGAGAGUCAGCGUCAACAGCCUGGUGGACUCUUCUUCAGGCUCAGAAGGGAAUGGCGAGAGUGACAUGAAUUCGCUUCAGGACUACGUCGGAGCUGCAACGCAGCAUUUCGAGGCCAGCCAUGGAAGGGGAAGACUGCAUCAGGAGACAUCAGACAGCGGCGGCGGCGAGGACGACAGCACCUGUAAAGCAGAGGAAAUCUGGAAGCCCUACAACCUAUGCAUAGACCUCGCACCCCCGUACUCCGGCCGGCUGAGCUGCCUGAAACACCUGGUGCGUAGCAACCCGGACACAGCGCAUCGCCUGGUGAAAUCCAGCCUCUCCGCCACCUUCCACCAGCUCUACACCAAGGAAUCACUGAAGCUGCACGACAUCUCGCAUCUUGUCUUCACCAACAACGCUGCCUUAAACCGCUGGAAGGUGCUCACCUCGGCUCGAGGUCUUCGGACGGUAGCCGCGGCCACCGGCCACCCUGCUGGGGGCGAUCGCGGUGUUCCGCUACCGCGGCGGCAGCGCUGGCGAGGUCCACCAGGCCUAUGA